rnacentral:rRNA from 1 species
UGCAGAAGAAGCGCCGGCUAACUACGUGCCAGCAGCCGCGGUAAUACGUAGGGCGCAAGCGUUGUCCGGAAUUAUUGGGCGUAAAGAGCUCGUAGGCGGCUUGUCACGUCGGGUGUGAAAGACCGGGGCUUAACCCCGGUUCUGCAUUCGAUACGGGCUGGCUAGAGUGUGGUAGGGGAGAUCGGAAUUCCUGGUGUAGCGGUGAAAUGCGCAGAUAUCAGGAGGAACACCGGUGGCGAAGGCGGAUCUCUGGGCCAUUACUGACGCUGAGGAGCGAAAGCGUGGGGAGCGAACAGGAUUAGAUACCCUGGUAGUCCACGCCGUAAACGGUGGGAACUAGGUGUUGGCGACAUUCCACGUCGUCGGUGCCGCAGCUAACGCAUUAAGUUCCCCGCCUGGGGAGUACGGCCGCAAGGCUAAAACUCAAAGGAAUUGACGGGGGCCCGCACAAGCAGCGGAGCAUGUGGCUUAAUUCGACGCAACGCGAAGAACCUUACCAAGGCUUGACAUACACCGGAAAGCAUCAGAGAUGGUGCCCCCCUUGUGGUCGGUGUACAGGUGGUGCAUGGCUGUCGUCAGCUCGUGUCGUGAG